AAUCUAUGAUGUGGGCAUUUCUGUAUCAGUGUUUUAAAAUGCUCCCAAGCUUCGUGAAAGAUUUCUCCUUCUAACUGCUUCAACGUUGUGAUCUCUAUCCUCAGUCG
rfam:Gossypium raimondii Chr05_contig_742, whole genome shotgun sequence.